rnacentral:miRNA from 1 species
UAUUGGGUUGGUGCAAAAAUAAUUGCAGUUUUUCCCAUGAAAAGUAAUGGCAAAAACUGCAAUUACUUUUACACCAACCUAAUAUUU